UAUUCUGUUUGAGUAUCCUGAAAACGGGCUUUUCAAGAUCAGAAUACCAAAUUAGUUAAAAUAAUAGGAGUGCAUAGUGGCCCGUAUUGCAGGCAUUAACAUUCCUGAU
rnacentral:sRNA from 2 species